rnacentral:rRNA from 1 species
UACAGAGGUGGCAAGCGUUGUUCGGAAUUACUGGGCGUAAAGGGCGUGUAGGCGGUCUUCUAAGUCAGACGUGAAAUCCCCCGGCUUAACCUGGGAACUGCGUCUGAUACUGGGAGGCUUGAGUAUGGGAGAGGGAUGUAGAAUUCCAGGUGUAGCGGUGAAAUGCGUAGAUAUCUGGAGGAAUACCGGUGGCGAAGGCGGCAUCCUGGACCAUUACUGACGCUGAGGCGCGAAAGCUAGGGGAGCAAACGGG